AUGUUUAUAUAGUUUGAAUCUAAGCAAUAUCUCAUGGACUAUUCUUUGUUCUCAUACAUAGGACAUGCUUUUGACCGCGAGCUUCUAUCGGCUUAUUUACAGGAGGCGGUCAUUUCAGUACAGAGAGGUGAUGGCUUGAGAUUCAUCACUAGCCACUGAUGGCAAGUCCAAACUAGAUACAUCAACUGUUAAACCUAUGUGGAAAAAGUAACGCUACGCAAGAUCUUUGCGAGGUGACAGCCAGUUCAUAUUCAAAUCUUAUUGUUCAGAUUCUGAUGCAUGGCAAGACCUUUUCUUUUCUAAAGAAUCAUAUCUGGUUUACUACUUCUUGGUAUCAGUCUUAUCUCACCUGAAUAUUUCUUCUUUCCUAUGCACAAAUUAUUUAGUUGGUUCAGCUACCCUUUUAGAUGGUUAGUAUUUAGACAUGGAAGCUCACGGACAUUUUCCAUACAAUAAAUCCCUUGAUGCAUAUAUAAUACAUGCAGCCUACGUUUCUAUGUUGUUCUACAACACGUUAAAUUUCUACGUACAAAAGUGUGGAAAGCAUGUGCAUUUAAAUGCAAUACUAGCCCAUGAAAGAUUAAAAGAAAGUAACAGUGGAUAUUUCCUUCGCCUUUUUCUGGGUUCCUUUGUUAUUUCUCAAUAUUUCCUUCGCUUUAUAUUCUCAUAUUGCAGAAAUUAAUUGAGUAUGAAGCAAAUAAGAUAUUGAUUUGUAGAACCCUAAUGCAUUCUUUCAUGUCCCGUUGAGUUCGGAUUUUUGUACUACUGUAUGAGCCAUAUUUGGAAAUCUACAGACUGCAGUAUAGGAGGUGAAAGAAAAAUUUAUGAAGAAAUAUAUUUGUGAGGGUUGCAUUCAGAAGAAACUCCUAUUUAGUGAUGUAGUUUAUGAUCUGAUUGGGAAACUUAAUUUUAUUUCAUUUUGCUGAAUGCUUGGAUGAUUCGUGGUGGAUUUCAGGUUUGGGUGAUCUGUUAAUGUGCUAAAUCAGAUGGUACGUUAAUGGUAUUUGAGGAAUUAGCAUCUACUCUAUAUGUGUAAAUUUUACGGUGCUGAAUAUGGAUUUCUGAUUUGGGAGUUGCAGACCCAAUUAUCAUGGAUAUGUAUCUCUAUAAGCUUACCAAAAAAUCAAACAGGUCUAGGCUGGAUGGCAAGUGAAGAUAAAUCAAGUUGGAGUGGAAUUCCUUCAAGUGCUAAUUUCAGUUUUGUUCAUGCAGGAAGUUCGCAAGGAUAUAUACAGCUUGGAAGGUAAAAUAAAAAUACAUGGAGCUGGUGCAGCGGAAGGCAAUGUUAACGGGUGAAUGGUGGUGGCUGCUCGAGGCGAUACACGGGCGACGUCCGGUGUUAUCCGCAGUGAGUAUACCGCGCUGGUACUUCUCAGGUCGUUUGAUGUGAAGCAUAGACGAAACGAUGAGUGCUCAGAAAUGACAAUGAUUAUAGGGGAAUGUCUGAAUAUAAAUUUGGGUUGAAUGACAAGGUUCCUUUGGAGGCAGAGGAGCGAGCAACUAAAGGCAAGGCACUAGAGCUUGGUGGUACCAAAUUUCACCAGUGAGCAAUGGUAAUGUCUUUUUCCCAUCAAGUCUGUUAUAACAUGACUGAAUAACAAAUUGUCCCCAUAUUCGGCCUUAAGAAGUCGUUGCAGCCGGAAGAAAAAGCUCUCACCCAGGGCCUAAAGCAGCUCCAUUAGUCAAUCCACUUUGGCUACAAAUCCAUUUUGCUCAUACAUAAUUUUGGUGUCUAAAUAGCAGUUGCAUGGAAUUGAUGAGCACUGUUUAUUUUCCCUGCUCUUUAGAUAACUUUGGAUACAUUAUUUACAGUCGUAAGUACCGCCGAUGCCGCAGGAAAGAUAUGAUUGUGACAUCCUUUGUUUUUUUAAUAGUGGACAUAUAGUUUGGAGGGGUUUGUUUUCGGUAGCGAGAAAUUGACCAGUGGCUCAAUUAAAUUUACUUGCUUCCUGGAUUUAUAACUGCAUGAAUGUAUCAUUCUUGAUAGUUUUACAUUCAGUUCUCUCGGAAUUUGAGAUGAUCAGUAUAAUACUUGGUGAAUCCAAUUCUUUUACUUCUUAGUGCAGCCAUGAUCUUCGAGGAGUGUUGCCAUAUUGUUACUUCGUUUAAACUUAUGGAUACCAAAGGGUUUAUUUACCUGGUGGCAAUUUAGCCUAUGAUCGCUGCAUUCUUCAGCAAGCGUGCAUAUGUGUUGAUUACUGGUGCUUUUCGUUUCUCUAAUGAAAUGGUAGUUACGUAGGGCAGGCUUUUAUCUUAACCUCAUAUGUGUGUGUUUUCUUUCUGAUAUCAUUAAAAUUUCAUAUACCAUGCAGCUUGCAAGGUGCAAGUUAAUGUGUGGUUUUGUGCUAUAUCUUAUUUAAAGUUGAUAUUAUUUGUAAACCCCUAAACAAUUUACGAUCUCAAGAUUUUUACUACAGUGUAUGCAAUAUUUUAAUGAAGGUAAAACCUCCCAGUUUCAGUCUUCUUCUCCUGCCUCUCUGUAUUUUAUUUACCUUGAAAUUUUAGGAAAAACUCCCUGCAACAAUUUAUUACUCCAACCCCAUCAAAUAUUAUAAAUAUACAGAGCCCAAAGGCAAAGAAAAUAAAACAGAAAACAUAUUACAUAAGAGUGUUAAUCCAUUCGGACGCUAGGGGGAUGUGCUGCGUUUUCACCCUAUGCUUAUCAAGGUGAUACCAUGAAUAAAAUCUCCUUUCCAUAUGUUGCAGCUACAAAAAAAAUCUAAAAGAAAGCUCAAAAAGCCGUGUUAUAUUGAUAAAUUUUGCUCAAUUUGACUUUGAUCUGUUCUGUUGAUAUGCAUUAGAGGCAGCUUCCGUUUUUAGGUGCAGAUCUAAAUAAAUUAUCAAAGACCUUUAUUUAGCAUGUCUAUGAGCUCAGGAAAUUAUAUUUGUUUCAUGGUAAUAAAUGUAAUUGUAGUAAUUAUUGAAGUAGUGCCAAGAACAAGAUAUUUGUGCUCGCAUAGAUAUAUAUUGUUGGCUAAUUGCAGCACUAGAUGUUAAUCCAAGAUUGAAGUCAAUAUUUUGCUAUUCUGAGUUUUUGCAGUAAAUUCUCUGGGAUACAUCUUAUUACUGUUUUGUUAUUUUAUUAUUGAAAGUAAUAUUGAUCAUGUGGCAAUGAAGUAAGGUCUCCGUUUUAGCGUCAAGAUACUGGCCUUGACGGUGAACUUUGGUUCGUUGGAGGAGAUCAUUAAUAUGGGAUCAUUUGAUCUGUUUUUAGUUAGCUGGUAUAUAUUCUUUGAGAAGGUGAAUUCUUGAACAACUUAUUAAUAUAGGACUCAUUUUUUUUACAAAUGUGUUGUCUAUUGUUAAUUUAAUAUCACAGCAAGUUUAUCUAAAGUGGCCAAGUGUUUGCAGAAAGACUAUUAAUUAGCUGAAGUAUAUGCUUUAGAACUGAAGAUAAAUGCAUGGAUUAAUUCAUAUGAAAUCUUUAUCUCAAGCAUGUACACUGUGUGGCGUCGUCUUGGUGAAUUUAUGAAUAGGGCAGUGUAACACUUGCAGAGAUGCACAAGACUCUUCGUCCUCUUUGUACAGUCUCAGGGUCAUCUCCCGUGUCGUGUAUUUUCAGGGGCAAUUUCUGCCUGAGAACGUUGAUGUCUUCUUCUAUUCGUCAGAGUGUCCCUCCAUAGUAUUCAUGUGACCUGGUAGUUGUCAUCCGUCAUUUUGUACAACGUCAUGGAAGAUGUUAAGAGUUUAUCCGUUCAAAGGGCUUUGUUACAAGAUUCGCUUCCUCAAGUUGGAUCAGGAGAGCUGUGAUGAUGAUCGAAAGGAGCCACCGGCGUCAUCUACCACGGGUUUAGCUCAGCCUGGUUCACCUGUGAUUGAUGAUCCAAAGAAAGCCCCGCCAUCAACUACCACAAUUUAAACAGAUAAGAGGUUGUAUGAAAAUUGUUUCUAGACGCAAGCAUCAAUCUCUGACAGCUCAUGCAGAUGGAUAUAGAAAGAAGAAAACUUAAACCAGAACUAGACCAGGCUUUUAGAAUCAGUCUCGAGGUCCCAAUAUGGAGAAGCGUCUCGAGAAGACGAGGAAGCAAUCCUAGGUUGAGAAGCAUGUUGUGCUAGGCGGGUGGUUGCCAUGUAUAAAUUAACCCUUUAGUAACUAUUGUAUUAUGUUGUUAUGCCUUAUAAUUUCAAGUAGCAUGUUAUUUCUUAAGUAUCUAUUGCAUGUGUUCUGUGUACUGCUCUAUAUCAACUAUGUUCAAGCCAUGCUUGAUGCUACUUGCUUAUCAUCAAUUUCUAUAAACACUUAA